rnacentral:rRNA from 1 species
AAUGUAUAGCGUAAGCUAAUUGUAGUAAUACAAUAUCGACUAUGUCGGAUAAAGUUCUAGAUAGAAGAAUGAUGAUGACAAUUUUCUAUCUAUAUGUCUUGGCCAAAUCUCGUGCCAGCAGCCGCGGUAAUACGAGGAAGACUAGUGUUAUUCAUCUUUAGUAGGUUUAAAGGGUACCUAGACGGUAUUUUUAGCCCAAAACAGGGUACGGAUUUACUAGAGUUUUAUGUGGAAAGGGGAGUACUUAUGGAGUAGGGAUGAAAUCCUUUAAUACUAUGGGGUAACUGGUAGAGGCGAAAGCAACCUUUUAUGUAAAAACUGACGUUGAGGGACGAAGGCCUGGGUAGCAAAAAGGAUUAGAUACCCUAGUAGUCCAGGCAGAAAAUUAUGAAUGUUAUAGACUAGGUAUAAUAUAGUCUAUAAAUAAAAGUGCAAGCAUUCCACCUCAAGAGUAAUGUGGCAACGCAGGAACUGAAAUCAUUAGACCGUUUCUGAAACCAGUAGUGAAGUAUGUUAUUUAAUUCGAUGACCCUCGAAAAACCUUACCACAAUUUGAAUGUUAUUUAUUUAAUACAAGCGUUGCACGGCUGUCUUUAGUUAAUGUCGUGAGAUUUUGGUUAGUUCCAUUAAAUUAACGUAAACCCUUGCUUUAUUUUUCUUUUCUAUAAAGUAGUUCGCCACUAUAUUGGAUAUGAUAAAAGGGAUUAAGACAAGUCAUCAUGGCCUUAAUAUUGUGGGCUAUUGACGUGCCACAUAUGCCUAUACAAAGGGAUG